rnacentral:rRNA from 1 species
GUAGGGGGCGAGCGUUAUCCGGAAUUAUUGGGCGUAAAGAGUGCGUAGGUGGCACCUUAAGCGCAGGGGUUUAAGGGCAAUGGGCUCAACCAUUGUUCGCCUUGCGAACUGGGGUGCUUGAGUGCAGGAGGGGAAAGUGGAAUUCCUAGUGUAGCGGUGAAAUGCGUAGAUAUUAGGAGGAACACCAGUGGCGAAGGCGACUUUCUGGACUGUUACUGACACUGAGCCACGAAAGCGUGGGGAGCAAACAGGAUUAGAUACCCUGGUAGUCCACGCCGUAAACGAUGAGCACUAGGUGUCGGGGUCGCAAGACUUCGGUGCCGCAGUUAACGCAUUAAGUGCUCCGCCUGGGGAGUACGCACGCAAGUGUA